UUCUCGGGGUCUCUAGGGAAAGUCUCCAGGUUUCCUGUGAUGUAAUAGAGAGAACACCACAAAGUUCCUUCGAUGUGUCCGCCCUGUGCAGCCUUAUGGAAAUAUUCACCGGCCAAAGUCUGUAGAGAGAUCAACAAAGUCAUCUCAUUGGAUCUUUAGGAAAACUGAGUCAAGCUCCGGGAAGACAGCCAAUCACAGAAGCUGGCCCCCGGAUGUCAUAACGUCGAUGGGAAGCUAUUCGGUGAAGGUUACCCACUAAAUAAAUAGGACAACACGUCGCUGGGACUCGCAUAACCCCUGCAAGCUACACAGCUACGCUUCAGAGUUUUGCAGAAGUCACACCAGGUGAACAUUCAGGCACCGGCUCUCCUCACCUUGCUUAAUACCUUUCUUCAAACUCGUGUGCAAAAACUGCAUUUCCCGUAGGAAGGGAUCCCGGUCCUGCCUCCACUAAGCAUAUGGCUCUGAGUAAGCCUUGACUGGUCACUCCGUAAAAUGGAUACAAUCAUAGCAGCUAUUCCAGAAGACAGAACGACGUGGGAUGCAUGUCAAGUAUUUCUGAGUGUCUGUCACAGAGGAAGUGCUUAGCAGACACUGAAGAUUGCCACUCUUUUCACUAUUAUUAAAUCUGGUCUCAGGGCACCUGGGUGGCUCAGGGGUUGAGCAUCUGCCUUUGGCUCAGCUGUGAUCCCAGGGUCCCGGGAUCAAAUCCCACAUCGUGCUCCCCACAGGGAGUCUGCUUCUCCCCCUGCCUGUGUC